CUGAAAAAUAACCGAGUUAUCCAUGUUAUUUACUUACUUUCAAGGAAAGAGGGUUAGAAAUGAAUUUCUGUCGACAAUGUUACUAGAAUGUAUAAAAAGUCGUCAGGAAGUGAGGAGGUGCUUCGAAUUAUUAUAAAAUAUUGAUUAAAGUUGUCAUUCACUGCCAAAAAACCAAUACUUUUGUUAUUAUUGCCUUUAAUAUAGGACUAGGCCUAUUGCACACUAGCCUAUAAUGCUUAACCUAACCUGUCACACUGCAUAUCACUGAAAGGACAGGAGGCUUCAGACCACGAGAAAGGUGUUGACAAAAGAGAAAUUAGACCACCUAGACUUGCUGAGGUCAUUGAUGAAGAAGUUGUCAACAAGAGGAGACAAACUAGCAUUGCAAAGAGAAAGUAUCCCAUCCUUACUUUAUAUGAUAACUCUUCGGAAGAUGACAGGUCAUAGCCAAAACCUCACUUACCCUAAUAUUCAGAGGAUAUUGGUCCACUUGAUGAUCCUACUGCAGCACCAAGUACUCAGUCCUCACAAACAUUUUAUCUCUGUUGGUCCUACUACAAGUACUGCACCUUCAAGAGAGAUUGCAGAAGGUAUAUGCUUGUGUGUUGUCAUGGGCUAGAGCCAGUGCUGUUUGUUGAGAGUGAACAAUGGUUAGAAAUAUAUAUAGUGAGUAUUAGAGUGUAAGAAAAAAGGUAAUGGUAAAUGCUAAGAUAGUAAGUAAUAUUACAGAUUCACCUUCAAGAGGAUCUAUCUUGUCAAUUGGGUCUUCAGUCACUGACAGCUUGUCACAACAGAGUUACACAAACCCACAGGCACCAACAGAACGUCUUCAAGAAUACUUGACUUCGUGAAGAAUCAACACUUGCAGGACAAUCCGUUUCCUUUAAAAGGUUAUUAUUUUUAUUUGAUUUAUCUUUUUGAGUAAGCAAAGACUAAGGAAGCAGUUAGAAAUAGAAAUUUUGAUGAUGACCCUAGAGAAAAUCUAAGCCAGCUUUUCCCCACCUUUCUGACUUCUGCAGAGGAAGUGGAACAGUUUGAGAAAACACUCAGAAAAGCCUUAUAGAAAGUCAAUGGUUACUGAACUGGCUUCAGUGUAUGCAAAGAAAGAUGAGAAAACAGUGAUCCUCUGAGGGGUCAUGAGGAGACACUUCAUGACAAAAGAAAUUGAUGGGGGAGUAUUCGUUGAAGGAAUCAAGAAGAAAGAAAAAAGAAGUCUCUUUGAUACUAGUCAACAUGGAUUUAUUCGUGGCGUUGCCAAAAGAUUUCUGUCCAAACAAGAUAAGGAAGCUGACAUUAUGAUAGAUGGCACUAUUGCGGCCAUUCUCAAAUUUGCACCACAUUGGGAAGGAGGAGAGAAGUUUAAGUCAAGAUCAGAACCAAAGGAGAUCGAGGCCUCUCCAUCCGCCUCUUUUCUGACACAUAAAAUGCUACAUAACACCAUAAAUUUUUUUACAUGCUUGUGACUUGUGCUCCCUCUAUAUGAAUUCUUGUGUAAAUUGAUAAGUAUCUGUACUAUUAUAUACUGCAUUUUAUAAGUUAUUUUCUUUAAUUGGUUACAUUACAGUAAAGUGUCCCCAUAUAUAAAUUUAUUUGUCCAACCGAGAUAUUGAAAAAUUAUGUAUUACCCUUGUGGACAGAAUUAUGAAUAUAUUUAUAGACUUUACAUAGUUUAACAUCAUGGAUAUUUCAAUUAAUUCUUGGUCUUCCUGCCCUCGGAGUGGGAGUAAGGCAUCAUAGAUAAUUAGUGAUUUUUUAGGCUAAGGUGUGCAAUAAUAAAAAGGUUCUACAUGCCAUAUUCAUAAACAAAUUGUGUCAUUAUGAUAUCUAGUUGUAAUUCCAUUUCUUUUUAUGGAAACACAUUUUAAAUAGCUUAUGUUCUGAACUGUGGGGAGUGAUUCAUCAUAUGUUCUUCCACAUGUCCAUCUCUUAAUCUCAGAUACUGUUCCUUACCCCUCACACCUCUCCCUAACCUAUUCAUAACUCUUUAGGUUAAACUACCUCCCUUCACAUGUUCCCAAGAACUUAAGCUCAAUCACAUUUGUCAACUUUUUACCCCUCUCAUACAGUCAGACAGUCACUGGCAUUCCAAACCUUUCUAUUCUUAACUUGCUUAUCUUGACACUUUUAAGCUUCCAAAACUUUUCUGCUCUCGAUGGAAUAUCGAAACCUACAACCCGUAUUUUCCUUACUAUACAUCAUAUUAUUUACUCCUAUCAACAGUCCCCCUCUAUUUGUUUAUACUAUACACACAUUCAAACGUUUCACCAGUGCCUUCACCUUUUCCUUAAAAAUGUCCCACAUGAAUACAAAUGAAACUCAAACUAAAGCUAUUAAAAAUGAAGCAUUUGUCUCCUGCCUAAUCCCUGUCUUUCUGUGAAGGUGAGUGAGCCUGGUACACGUAUAUAGUGUACUUGGAAGUCCCUCUACCUGCUAUGUAGUUGCCACUAUAUG